AUGGGGACGCUGUGGAGCACGACGGUCUCAAUGGUAAGGCCAGGGCCGAAGCCGAAGAGCACGCCCCAGUCCAAGCCCUCCCCAGUGGUGGUUUGGCCUUCCUCGGCCGAGCGCUUACGCAUCUCGUCCAAAAUGAAGAGGACGCACGCGCUGGACAUGUUGCCGUACUCGGAGAGGACGUGCCUGGUGGCAUGCAUCCGCUUCUUGUCGAGAUUGGCCUCCGCCUCCACCAUGUCUAGGAUCGCCGGCCCACCAGGGUGA
rnacentral:rRNA from 1 species